AGAGGAAGGGGCCCCCCUGCCGAUCUCCGCAGGAGUGAGGGCAAGGUACAGGCCUGCGGUGAGGCACAAGGGUGGCCCUCUGGGGCACAGUGCAGGUAGCCCUGCCUUAGGGGUAUGCCUGGAGGUGGGACCGGAGGGUAGGGUCACGGAGCCUGCCCCUUGGAGGAGGGCACAGCCAAGGUCUUAGAAAUGACCCAAGCAGGCCUAUAGCCUUGACAAGAGAACACAAAGCGAGGUGAAAUAUACUAAUCGUGUUGGUGAUCCCUUGGAGACUGCCUUCCGCUCCCGAGGUGAAUCAUUUCCUUCUAACUGAAAUGCUUCCUCCUGGAGGAAGCUGGGAGGCUCCUAGGAAGAGAAGGGCAUUAACAAGGCUAAGGAAGUAGAGGAAACUUGGAAGUCUCAGGCAGUCUCUGAAGCUUACAAGGUUCACAAAAUCCAUACGCAGUAAAAAUUUCUAGAGCUGCCUGCAGGGAUCGCUAGGGGCAUGGCUUUUAUGAGUCAUUAGCCGAGCUGGCAUUGGGUUUUUUAUUUUAUUUUAUUUUUUUGGCAUUGGGCUUUUAAGGUGCUGAUGCUGCCUUUUAGUCACCUGUGCUCCAGGAAGUAACCCCACAAUCUUCUUCAGUUCACUAAGCUAGACUGCGGUGAAAUCAUUUCCUUCUUCCACCCUCUGGUGCCCUAUCUAUGGCGGAGCUGGUCAGUGAAGCAGAAGAUUGGCAUUUUGGCUAGGCUGUCUGGCCCGAGAGUUCCGGGACCUGCCUGUCUCUGCCCUCCCAAUGCUGGGCUUACUGGAAUGUGUGGCCACGGCCAGCUUUUCAUGUGGGCGCUGUAGAUAUGUGUACAAGCAGACUUUCCCAGGUGCCCACCCAUGGACAACCCUCACUGUGCUGGUUCUAUUUCGCUCCUCAGUAGCUCGCCUUUUAAUUUCAUGUCAUAGAUGUGCCUGUGUGUACAUAGAAGUGCUUGAUUAUAUGUAUUUUACACAUGAGAGAAAACACGGUAUUUGCUUUUGUGGGCCUAGCAAAUUAACACAGCAAACGACGUCUUUUGUUCUUUAUAUCCGCGCGAUAGAACUCUGUGUGUGUUUGUGUGUAUGUGGCGCUGGGCUUGAACCUAGGGCCUUCCAGGUGCCAGGCGGGUACACUGCUGAGCUGCCUCAAAGCCCUAAGUAUCUCAAUAUUAAUAGUUCGGCUGUAUUCCCAUUGGGCAUUGAGCCAUGGUCUGGCUCAGGAUGAGCAUGAAUUCUGUUACUGAACUACAGCUUCCGGCUCAGAUAAGAUAAUUUUGUAUACAAAUUGAUACAAUGCACUUAUUUAUAAAUAUAUAAUAACAUAUA